rnacentral:rRNA from 1 species
CAAAGGAGCAACCGCUGAGAGAUGGGCUCGCGUCCGAUUAGAUAGUUGGCGGGGUAACGGCCCACCAAGUCGGCGAUCGGUAGCCGGACUGAGAGGUUGAACGGCCACAUUGGGACUGAGACACGGCCCAGACUCCUACGGGAGGCAGCAGUGGGGGAUAUUGCACAAUGGGGGAAACCCUGAUGCAGCGAUGCCGCGUGAGUGAAGACGGCCUUCGGGUUGUAAAGCUCUGUCGCAGAGGACGAAAAUGACGGUACUCUGUAAGAAAGCUCCGGCUAACUACGUGCCAGCAGCCGCGGUAAUACGUAGGGAGCAAGCGUUGUCCGGAAUUACUGGGUGUAAAGGGAGCGUAGGCGGGAGGAUAAGUUGAAUGUGAAAUCUAUGGGCUCAACCUAUAGACUGCGUUCAAAACUGUUCUUCUUGAGUGAAGUAGAGGCAGGCGGAAUUCCUAGUGUAGCGGUGAAAUGCGUAGAUAUUAGGAGGAACACCAGUGGCGAAGGCGGCCUGCUGGGCUUUUACUGACGCUGAGGCUCGAAAGCGUGGGUAGCAAACAGGAUUAGAUACCCUGGUAGUCCACGCGGUAAACGAUGAUUACUAGGUGUGGGUGGACUGACCCCAUCC